rnacentral:rRNA from 1 species
GUUAUAUGGUCAAGCGAAUAAGCGCACACGGUGGAUGCCUAGGCGGUCAGAGGCGAUGAAGGACGUGGUAGCCUGCGAAAAGUGUCGGGGAGCUGGCAACAAGCUUUGAUCCGGCAAUGUCCGAAUGGGGAAACCCACUGCUUCGGCAGUAUCCUGCAGUGAAUUCAUAGCUGCUGGAAGCGAACCCGGUGAACUGAAAUAUCUAAGUAACCGGAGGAAAAGAAAUCAACCGAGAUUCCCUGAGUAGUGACGAGCGAACGGGGAACAGCCCUUAAGCUGGAAUGGCUUUAGAAAAACAAUCUGGAAAGAUUGGCCAUAGAAGGUGAUAGCCCUGUAUUUAAAAGGGCCACUCCAGUGAAGACGAGUAGGGCGGGGCACGUGAAACCCUGUCUGAAUAUGGGGGGACCAUCCUCCAAGGCUAAAUACUCCUGACCGACCGAUAGUGAACCAGUACCGUGAGGGAAAGGCGAAAAGAACCCCGGAGAGGGGAGUGAAAUAGAUCCUGAAACCGUGUGCGUACAAGCAGUAGGAGCUCGCAAGAGUGACUGCGUACCUUUUGUAUAAUGGGUCAGCGACUUACUGUUCGUGGCAAGCUUAACCGUAUAGGGGAGGCGAAGGGAAACCGAGUCUGAUAAGGGCGCAUAGUCGCGGGCAGUAGACCCGAAACCGGGUGAUCUAGUCAUGGCCAGGGUGAAGGUGCCGUAACAGGUACUGGAGGCCCGAACCCACGUCUGUUGCAAAAGACGGGGAUGAGCUGUGAUUAGGAGUGAAAAGCUAAUCGAACCCGGAGAUAGCUGGUUCUCCUCGAAAGCUAUUUAGGUAGCGCCUCGGACGAAUACUACUGGGGGUAGAGCACUGUUAUGGCUAGGGGGUCAUCGCGACUUACCAAACCAUUGCAAACUCCGAAUACCAGUACGUACUAUCCGGGAGACACACGGCGGGUGCUAACGUCCGUCGUGAAAAGGGAAACAACCCAGACCCACAGCUAAGGUCCCAAAUUCACUGCUAAGUGGAAAACGAUGUGGAAAGGCACAGACAGCCAGGAGGUUGGCUUAGAAGCAGCCACCCUUUAAAGAAAGCGUAAUAGCUCACUGGUCGAGUCGGUCUGCGCGGAAGAUUUAACGGGGCUAAGCAGUGAACCGAAGCUUGGGGUGCGUAAAACUUCGGUUUUAUGCGCGGUAGAGGAGCGUUCCGUAAGCCUGCGAAGGUGGAUUGAGAAGUCUGCUGGAGGUAUCGGAAGUGCGAAUGCUGACAUGAGUAACGAUAAUGCGGGUGAAAAGCCCGCACGCCGAAAGCCCAAGGUUUCCUUGCGCAACGUUAAUCGACGCAGGGUUAGUCGGUCCCUAAGGCGAGGGCGAAAGCCGUAGUCGAUGGGAAGCAGGUUAAUAUUCCUGCACCUCGCGUGAGUGCGAUGGAGGGACGGAGAAGGUUAGGUGUACCGGGCGUUGGUUGUCCCGGGGAAAGGCGGUAGGUUUGAAUCUUUGGCAAAUCCGGGAUUCUUUAAGACCGAGCACCGAGACGAGCCUUUAUGGCGAAGUCACUGAUACCACGCUUCCAGGAAAAGCUCCUAAGCUUCAGCUCACGAAGACCGUACCGUAAACCGACACAGGUGGGUAGGAUGAGAAUUCUCAGGCGCUUGAGAGAACUCGGGUGAAGGAACUAGGCAACAUGGCACCGUAACUUCGGGAGAAGGUGCACCCUUUUUGGUGGCUCAUGCGAGCUAUAGCUGAAGAGGGUCGCAGAAACCAGGCCGCUGCGACUGUUUAUCAAAAACACAGCACUCUGCAAACACGAAAGUGGACGUAUAGGGUGUGACGCCUGCCCGGUGCUGGAAGGUUAAUUGAUGGGGUCAGCCGCAAGGCGAAGCUCUUGAUCGAAGCCCCAGUAAACGGCGGCCGUAACUAUAACGGUCCUAAGGUAGCGAAAUUCCUUGUCGGGUAAGUUCCGACCUGCACGAAUGGCGUAACGACAGCGGCGCUGUCUCCACCCGAGACUCAGUGAAAUUGAAAUCGCUGUGAAGAUGCAGCGUUCCCGUGGCAAGACGGAAAGACCCCGUGAACCUUUACUAUAGCUUUACACUGAACGUUGAGUUCGUCUGUGUAGGAUAGGUGGGAGGCUAUGAAACUGUGGCGCUAGCUGCAGUGGAGCCAUCCUUGAAAUACCACCCUGUCGUGCUUGACGUUCUAACCUAGAUCCGUUAUCCGGAUCAGGGACCGUGUAUGGUGGGUAGUUUGACUGGGGCGGUCUCCUCCUAAAGAGUAACGGAGGAGCACGAAGGUACGCUCAGCGCGGUCGGACAUCGCGCACUGUGUGCAAAGGCAUAAGCGUGCUUGACUGCAAGAUCGACGGAUCAAGCAGGUACGAAAGUAGGUCUUAGUGAUCCGGUGGUUCUGUAUGGAAGGGCCAUCGCUCAACGGAUAAAAGGUACUCCGGGGAUAACAGGCUGAUACCGCCCAAGAGUUCAUAUCGACGGCGGUGUUUGGCACCUCGAUGUCGGCUCAUCACAUCCUGGGGCUGUAGUCGGUCCCAAGGGUAUGGCUGUUCGCCAUUUAAAGUGGUACGCGAGCUGGGUUCAGAACGUCGUGAGACAGUUCGGUCCCUAUCUGCCAUGGGCGUUGGAAGUUUGAGAGGGGCUGCUCCUAGUACGAGAGGACCGGAGUGGACGAACCUCUGGUGUUCCGGUUGUCACGCCAGUGGCAUUGCCGGGUAGCUAUGUUCGGAAGCGAUAACCGCUGAAAGCAUCUAAGCGGGAAGCGCGCCUCAAGAUGAGACUUCCCGGGGCACAAGCCCCCUAAAGGAACCAUGUAGACUACGUGGUUGAUAGGUCAGGUGUGUAAGUACAGCAAUGUAUUGAGCUAACUGAUACUAAUGAUCCGUGCGGCUUGACCAUAUAACCU